rnacentral:rRNA from 1 species
AGACGUCUACAUUAGAUACCCCGGUAGUCCCAGCCGUAAACUAUGCGCGUUAGGUGUAUCGGUGACCACGAGUUACCGAGGUGCCGAAGGGAAACCGUGAAACGUGCCGCCUGGGAAGUACGGUCGCAAGGCUCGAAACUUAAAGGAAUGCGGGGGAGCACCACAACAGGUGGAGCCUGCGGUUUAAUUGGACUCAACGCCGGGAAGCUCACCGGAUAGGACAGCAGAAUGAUUGCCGGGCUGAAGACCCUGCAUGACUAGCUG